ACAUGGAUCAUAGAAAUAAAGCUUUCUUAUACUUAUAAAUUUGUCAUGCAAACGAUUUGGUUGUUUAAGUAACUUCUCUAUGUAUAUAUAAAUAACUUAAAAGGGUUCAAGAAAUUAGGGAUAACGUACUAUUUCAUAUAAAUGGAAAAAUCUUAUUUGGCUCCUAGAAUAAUGUAACAUAUCUUUUAUAAUGAAAAUACCAUAUACCAUAAAUAGUAGAUAUUCUGGAGAAUAAUCAUCAACAAGCGAUUUGUAAAUGAGGCUACAAUUUAUUAAAAUUGAGAUACUACUCACUCUAGUACAAAGUGUUAUGCAUCUCACUCAAAAAACACGCAUAACUCGUUUGUAGCAGCUGACCGGUGAAUAUAUAUUUUACAUGCCAUUAUAUAUUCUUUAUUCUAAUAUUUUUUUAUAUUUUCCAUCUGUAUAAGUCUUAUAAAAAUGAAUAUAGUUGGAUGUUGCUUGGAAAAUGUCUACUCACAAAAACACUGAUGCAGCCAUCGAUAGACCAUGCUCAAAACUCAACAAGUUCUACACAACCAGAAGAGGUGUAUACAAAUAAUUAUUCUUCUUUGCAUGUAUAUAGACCGUCUAUUUUGAUAGACAUCAUUUCCGAGCUGCAUGGUUACCGCGGGUGCACUGCAUUCCUAUCGACUGCAUUCCUAUCGAACGAGCACUGCAAUGUCCAAAACAACUGCAUGCGUUUUUUCUACAUUGUUUCGCUUCAGUUUCUAGACCGCUUAUUCAAACGAGGCGUAUAAUAUACUGUUGGAUAUCUAUGAAAAAUGCCUAGCUUCGCCAUGUUGAGCAAUUUUCGGGAUUCCUCACGGUUUAAGAACAGUUUUGAAAACAGUGGGCGCCUGACGGGUGGCAGCGAGCGUAUUUUUACGUUUUUUUCUAAAAGGCUUGUCAAAAUGAAGCAAACAAUACGAGUUGGAAAGAU
rnacentral:lncRNA from 1 species